CGUAUUAGGGCCGCCCUUCGGCGCUCUUUACACACCCACCCUUUGCCUAUGUGUACCUUUCAUAGCUUCCUCGGCGGGCUCGCCCGCCGCCAGGAACCCACGAAACCCCUUGCAUCCUACAUGAAAACUUCCGAUUACAAACCUAAAUUAUCA
rnacentral:misc_RNA from 1 species